AAGCAUAAUGGCUGUUUCAACCCUGCUCCACCGAAUAUUUGAACUUAAAUCCCUUGGUAUAAUCCAAUACAAUCAAAACUCAACUGCAAAAUUGGAUUAGACACUAUAAAAUGGUAGAAAUUUUCAUCAGUGAGGGUUCCUUCAAUACUGAAGAGUCCAAACUCAAAAGCGUUAAUACCCUAAAAGGAUAAAUUUAACAGAAAUUUCAUUGAAGUUGCAAUUCAAAGCACGAAUUACACAAUCCAUUAGCUAUCCUACCAUAACACUCAUAAUCCCCAAAAUACAGCAUCUAAUUCACUAAUUACACCAAAAAGCUUUAAACUUUAACCACCAAACCCAUAUAGAGUCCUUCCCUGCCUCUUCAAUGCAUACACCACAUCCAUAGCAGUCACCGUCUUUCUUCUCGCGUGCUCAGUGUAGGUCACGGCAUCACGGAUCACAUUCUCCAAGAAAAUCUUCAGAACUCCGCGAGUCUCCUCGUAAAUCAAUCCACUGAUCCUCUUCACGCCACCUCUACGAGCCAGCCGACGAAUCGCAGGCUUGGUGAUUCCCUGAAUGUUAUCGCGGAGAACCUUCCUGUGACGCUUAGCUCCUCCCUUGCCCAGCCCCUUGCCUCCCUUUCCACGGCCAGACAUCUUCUAAAUAGGAUCUAAAUUAAAGCGAAAGAGAAGCCGAGAGACUAGUAGUGUAGUGUUUCCG
rnacentral:misc_RNA from 1 species